AGGUCAUCUGAAGGAUAGAAACCAGCAAGACAAGCGCAGCUUUCUAAGCUUUCUUAUGUUUGUUAAGAGGCCAUUUUAAUGACGAUAUACCCUGGGAGAAAACCAUUACCUGUUUGUUCAGAUAAAAAUACGUUUGUGGUUCAGUCAAGACUAACGAGGGAGAAUAAUGUAGUUGUUUAAACACGAAAACUUGGGAUUUAAAAAGUGGGACGAUAUUUUUCGAGAUAGGCUGAUACAAGUCAGCAUGUAUUGUCUAUCGUCAAAUGUCCUAAAAAGAGUGUUCUGUAGGAACCCUCACCCAGACACCAGUACAGUCCCGAGCUGCUGGUGUCACAGCAACAUUCACUGGAAAGGUGGUGAAGCGAAUUGAGGGUAGGCUGCGAGGGAGGUGUUUGCAAAAGGAGAAAAUAACAGGCUAGGAUGGAUGGUAGGUGUCUGACAUUCAGCCUCUCAUCAUCUACAAGGAUAGGAUCCUGUCCCUUGCCAGGAGGAUAGAACCUGGCUCUGUGGAGAUGCUGAAAUGCCCAUGACCUAGCAACCAGGUACCAAUGAGAUGUUGACAGCCUGUAAUCAAGUAGAUGGUACCUCAACACAUCCAUGUCUGAGGAAGAGAACACAGGCUUUCGAGGAAACAUCGGCAAGUCUAGCUCCUGCAUUGCCCACCAGCUGAGAAACUGACACUUCGGUGGGAAGCUUAGCUAGAUUAGAGUUGGUAGAACCUGCUGCUGAGCACUUCAGUGCCAGAUCUCUGCAGCUGGUUGAGGAAGAAAUCCCUAAAGACUUUGGCACUCAGAGGACUACCAAAGAAGAGGCAGCUGCUCAGCUUCAGGCACAAGAAGACCCCACGGUUUGUAAAUUCGUGACUUCAUACAAAUGCAUGAGAUAGCACUGGGCAUCUUGCCACACACAGUUAUAAGGAUACAGAAUCAUGGUUGGCUCCUUUUAGCCAAAAGAAUACCGCUGAUAUCUUGUAAUCAUGAGAGGUAUUAACAUGUUCCAUUCCCAAUGCACAACCUCCGAGAGGUACAGAUCAAUUUUAUUGAUCGCAGGAGAGGGUAGAUUGUAGGACAUCUUUGAUGGCAAUAAAAAUUCAAUUGAUGUGGUCUUCGAUUGAUGGGUGCCUAGGCUUGAACUGCUAGCUGAUUCCAUAGCCUCAACAACCCAUGUAUUGCUUAUCUUUACAAAAAUCGUCUUCAACAGCAGGAUAUAUUCUUGAUAUAUUUUUCUCUUACUUGUUGUAUGUCACUUCACUCAUUAAAACCUACCUCCUGUGUGCAUCUAUUAAGAUUCUGCGUGUAAGGCCUGUUGCGUUAACCAUUGCCUUCAGAGAUUACUAGAAAUACUGUUGUGAACCUUGUAUGUUGCAUGUUCUGGAUUUUAAUUUGCUACAAAGAUAUUUUUGUAUCCCUAUUCUCACUCACAACAUGGACACCAAAUUACA